rnacentral:rRNA from 1 species
UACAGAGGGUGCAAGCGUUGUUCGGAAUUAUUGGGCGUAAAGGGCGCGUAGGCGGUGCGGUAAGUCUGCAGUGAAAUCUCUGGGCUCAACUCAGAGUCUGCUGUAGAAACUGCCGUGCUUGAGUGUGGGAGAGGUGAGUGGAAUUCCCGGUGUAGCGGUGAAAUGCGCAGAGAUCAGGAGGAACACCGAUGGCGAAAGCAGGUAACUGGACCAUUACUGACACUCAGCUGCGA